GAUGAAUGCGGGCGGCGCGCCUAACACAUGCAAGUCGAGCGGUAACAUGGACUUCGGUCUGAUGACGAGCGGCGGACGGCUGAGUAACGCGUGGGAACAUGCCCCAAAGUGAGGAAUAACUGCCCGAAAGGGUGGCUAAUGCCGCAUAUGAUCUUCGGAUUAAAGGAUUUAUCCGCUUUGGGAGUGGCCUGCGUACGAUUAGGUAGUUGGUGAGGUAAUGGCUCACCAAGCCUACGAUCGUUAACUGGUCUGAGAGGAUGAUCAGUCAGACUGGAACUGAGACACGGUCCAGACUCCUACGGGAGGCAGCAGUGAGGAAUCUUCCACAAUGGGCGAAAGCCUGAUGGAGCGACGCCGCGUGCAGGAUGAAGGCCUUCGGGUUGUAAACUGCUUUUAUAAGUGAAGAAUAUGACGGUAACUUAUGAAUAAGCACCGGCUAACUCCUUGCCAGCAGCCGCCGUA
rnacentral:rRNA from 1 species